UACGUAGGGGGCAAGCGUUGUCCGGAUUUAUUGGGCGUAAAGAGCUCGUAGGCGGUUCCGUAAGUCGGAUGUGAAAAAUCUGGGCUCAACCCAGUGGAGCACCCGAUACUGCGGUGACUCGAGUCCGGUAGGGGAGUGUGGAAUUCCUGGUGUAGCGGUGAAAUGCGCAGAUAUCAGGAAGAACACCGAUGGCGAAGGCAGCUCUCUGGGACGGUACUGACGCUGAGACGCGAAAGCGUGGGGAGCAAACAGG
rnacentral:rRNA from 1 species